UGUGUGAGCAUCAUUAUUUGAGGUUAAGAUUGUGAAAAGAUGAAAAGCAACACUUCGUCUAACCACAAGCAAACUGAUCAUAGCCUGAAAGGAAGUUCUCAUAUUUUAGAGUAUUUUACUACAUUAUCUUCUUGCUCAUGUAUUUGGAACAAAUUCUGCUUCUCCUCCAGUACUCUAGCUUUGCAGGCACUAAGAGCUUGCCUCACUUGUGUUUGGAAUGGAUCACAGUUUAGAUCUCCAUCAAGAUUGUGAGAUUUAUGGUUUGUUUGGUGAGUAAAUUUGACUGGACAGGAUAAGAGAAGAUGAAUGUAGAUGCAACCGAAUGAGAUGAGCAUUUCCCUUGAUAGGAGAUGGGAAAAAAAAUUAGGCUAUGGGUGGCAUGUACGCUCACCAAAUAUUAUAGCACAAGUACUGAAAUUGAGUGAAAACUAUCUCAACGUACAUUCUCAGAAGUUACAUAGCAUGGUGUAUAUGUCACCGUGUCACUAUAAAUGCUUUGGCAUUUCCCUUGUACCUGUAAUUCCACGCUGGUGACAAUCAUGAAGGACAGCUAAUGCCUGGCAAUUUAAAUUCUGAAAGCACCAUAUACACGGUGACAUACAUGGUCCAUGCCAAUAAUGUCUACCUAGAGUAAUCAAUCAUGUGCUAUUGUUCCUUCAUGAGUUCUUUAAUUGAAACUUUGUUCCUUGUGAUGAACCCUAGCUAGCAUUUCCAUAACCUAUUUAACUCGUAUAUGUUUGGAGUUUUAACUGCUGUUCACUAACUCGUUUGCGACAAUUUCAAUGCAGUAAUUGGUUUAUUGCUAGCUACUGAUAACAACAGUAGAUGAACAGGUGCAAACACAUAAAGUAAUAGAUGGGUGAUUGAACGACAAAAACCAAGCUGAGCUGCGAAGCCUGCAAUUUUAAAUAUUGUACGGCAACAACGAUUAAGAAAUAAGGUAAAGAUCCAUGCUCUAAAAUGAUUAAUUAAUGGUUCCCUUUUCGGUGUUUAAGGAUACAGAAGCUCUGAGAAAGUGGGAGAGAAUUUGUUUGGUCGCCCGAAAGACGUAAGAUAACAACUUCAAGAAAUGAAAUAUUGGAAUCUAAUCAGGAGUUAAGAUUCCAUAUAUGCUUUAUUAUUUGUACUCUCUUCCAUUUUCUUGGCAACCAAACAUGGAAAAAACAAGAAGAAACGAAAAAGGAGAGGAUAAUUCAAAGCCAAGAAUUAGACUUGCCUAGAGGUUCCAUUCCCUCUGGUUAUCAUCUUCUUUUGUAUCUUAAGGCCACGGCUCCAAGGCUACUCCAUUGCUAUCAGCAGGUAAUCCUUCAAACAAUCUCCUCCUCCUCCUCCUCCUCAAAACUACCAUGAUGAUCUCCUCCUUCGAUAAUGAUAAACCCUGAUGG